GAGAGAGGCCUGGUACGCACCAAGAACUGCUAAUUCUUAUCCCUGCGGUUCAACUCCGCAGCUUUCUCG
rnacentral:tRNA from 1 species